rnacentral:rRNA from 1 species
GGCCGGGUUUCGUGGUCGUGCCUCUCGGCAUUGCACUAUGGGCCUGGUCUUUCCUUCUGGGGAACAGGUGUGCCCGAAAGGGUGUGCUUGGGAUCCAGGACCUUUACUUUGAAAAAAUUAGAGUGUUCAAAGCAGGCAUGAUUUGCUCGAAUACAUUAGCAUGGAAUAAUAGAAUAGGACUUUGGUUCUAUUUUGUUGGUUUCUAGGACCGAAGUA